GAUGAACGCUGGCGGCGUGCCUAAUACAUGCAAGUCGAGCGAACAGACGCGGAGCUUGCUCCUCUGACGUUAGCGGCGGACGGGUGAGUAACACGUGGAUCACCUCCCUAUAAGACUGGGAUAAUUUCGGGAAACCGGCGCUAAUACCGGAUAAUCUCUUGAUCCGCAUGGUUCAAUAGUGAAAGACGGCUUUGCUGUCACUUAUCGAUGGUUCCGGGCCGCAUUAGCUAGUUGGUACGGUCACGGCGUACCAAGGGGACGAUGCGUAGCCGACGUGAUAGGGUGAUCGGCCACACUGGAGCUGAGACGCGCUCCAUGCGCCUACGGGAGGCAGCAGUAGCGUAUGUGCGGCAGUAGGCGGGAACCUUACGCAGUAACGGGGCGUGAGAGAUAGAGGUCUUCGGUGCGGAAAACCCUGUUAUUAGGGGUAAACAGAUGUCGAAUGAACUAUAGACGGCUUGACGGUACCGAAUCAGAAAGCCACGGCUAACUACGUG
rnacentral:rRNA from 1 species